CCACAUUUGGAAAUCUCCCCCUUAUAACUUUGGCAUCAUUCGCAAUAUGAAACCAAUAUAAGGAGUGGAAUCAAACCUAGCAGUGUGUGGUAGAGGACCCCUGAAGACUCCUGCUUGAGGAUUGUGAAAUAUAAAAGACGUUUGACAUAGAAAGGGUCAGACAUAAGCCGCCACCAUGAGUACGGACGCAGAAAUGGCCAUUUAUGGCAAGGCUGCUAUUUACCUGCGUAAGCCAGAGAGGGAGAGACUUGAGG